rnacentral:rRNA from 1 species
UACGUAGGUGGCAAGCGUUGUCCGGAAUUAUUGGGCGUAAAGCGCGCGCAGGCGGCCUUUUAAGUCUGAUGUGAAAGCCCACGGCUCAACCGUGGAAGGUCAUUGGAAACUGAAAGGCUUGAGUACAGAAGAGGGAAGCGGAAUUCCACGUGUAGCGGUGAAAUGCGUAGAGAUGUGGAGGAACACCAGUGGCGAAGGCGGCUUUCUGGUCUGUAACUGACGCUGAGGCGCGAAAGCGUGGGGAGCAAACAGG